AUACGUAGGGGGCGAGCGUUGUCCGGAAUGAUUGGGCGUAAAGGGCGCGUAGGCGGCCUGUUAAGUCUGGAGUGAAAGUCCUGUUUUCAAGAUGGGAAUUGCUUUGGAUACUGAUGGGCUUGAGUGCAGGAGAGGUUAUCGGAAUUCCCGGUGUAGCGGUGAGAUGCGUAGAGAUCGGGAGGAACACCAGUGGCGAAGGCGGGUAACUGGACUGCAACUGACGCUGAGGCGCGAAAGUGUGGGGAGCAAACAGGAUUAGAUACCCUGGUAGUCCACACUGUAAACGAUGAAUGCUAGGUGUAAGAGGUAUCGACCCCUUUUGUGCCGGAGUCAACACAAUAAGCAUUCCGCCUGGGGAGUACGGCCGCAAGGUUGAAACUCAAAUGAAUUGGCGGGG
rnacentral:rRNA from 1 species